CAGCAGCCGCGGUAAUACGUAGGGCGCGAGCGUUACCCGGAUUUACUGGGCGUAAAGGGCGUGUAGGCGGCCUGGGGCGUCCCAUGUGAAAGGCCACGGCUCAACCGUGGAGGAGCGUGGGAUACGCUCAGGCUAGAGGGUGGGAGAGGGUGGUGGAAUUCCCGGAGUAGCGGUGAAAUGCGCAGAUACCGGGAGGAACGCCGAUGGCGAAGGCAGCCACCUGGUCCACUUCUGACGCUGAGGCGCGAAAGCGUGGGGAGCAAACCGGAUUAGAGACCCCAGUAGUCCCUGUCUCUUAUAC
rnacentral:rRNA from 1 species